UAAUACGAAGGGGGCUAGCGUUGCUCGGAAUCACUGGGCGUAAAGGGUGCGUAGGCGGAUUUUUAAGUCAGGGGUGAAAUCCUGGAGCUCAACUCCAGAACUGCCUUUGAUACUGGGAAUCUUGAGUUCGGGAGAGGUGAGUGGAACUGCGAGUGUAGAGGUGAAAUUCGUAGAUAUUCGCAAGAACACCAGUGGCGAAGGCGGCUCACUGGCCCGAUACUGACGCUGAGGCACGAAAGCGUGGGGAGCAAACAGG
rnacentral:rRNA from 1 species